rnacentral:rRNA from 1 species
GAUGAACGCUGGCGGCGUGCCUAAUACAUGCAAGUCGAGCGAACGGACGAGAAGCUUGCUUUUCUGAUGUUAGCGGCGGACGGGUGAGUAACACGUGGAUAACCUACCUAUAAGACUGGGAUAACUUCGGGAAGCCGGAGCUAAUACCGGAUAAUAUUUUGAACCGCAUGGUUCAAAAGUGAAAGACGGUCUUGCUGUCACUUAUAGCUGGAUCCGCGCUGCAUUAGCUAGUUGGUAAGGUAACGGCUUACCAAGGCAACGAUGCAUAGCCGACCUGAGAGGGUGAUCGGCCACACUGGAACUGAGACACGGUCCAGACUCCUACGGGAGGCAGCAGUAGGGAAUCUUCCGCAAUGGGCGAAAGCCUGACGGAGCAACGCCGCGUGAGUGAUGAAGGUCUUCGGAUCGUAAAACUCUGUUAUUAGGGAAGAACAUAUGUGUAAGUAACUGUGCACAUCUUGACGGUACCUAAUCAGAAAGCCACGGCUAACUACGUG